AUGACCUCCUAUAUUAGUCAUCUGGAUGCACUUGACUUUGUCGGACAUCACCGACCUAAGGGCAAUAAUAUCUCCCUUUUAACUGACAUACUCUUGCACUUAUGCUUACCGGAUAUAACAGUUAUCAUUCACAAUAUACCUAAAAUCCUUAUACAAACAAAAAGGUUACAAUAUAUAAAGGAAAGGAAUGUGGGUGGGUCCCCAGGACCUCACACAGGUUUAUUAUUAUACAGGUUCUGUUUGGAAGCAUCAAUGCAGGAAAGGUGUUCAGGAGAGUCAUCCUCGUUGUUACAGUAGGUACAUUUAGGGAAAAUCUUUUUGACCGUUUUUGAAGGAAAUAAGUAGUGCCCCCAGACUUCAGGCGGGAAAUCAUGGUAGCAUUAACUGUAAUAGCAAAAGAAGCAUUAAUUGAACUACAUAUGAGGUAUUAGAUAUUGAUGAAUGUAAAUUCCGGAAACUACGAAAGGUAAAA
rnacentral:lncRNA from 1 species